CGCCCGAAGUCAGUGACCUAACCGCAAGGGAGGAGCUGCCGAAGGCGGGACCGAUGACUGGGGUGAAGUCGUAACAAGGUAGCCGUAUCGGAAGGUGCGGCUGGAUCACCUCCUUUCUAGGGAA
rnacentral:rRNA from 1 species